AGCAGUGUGGCUCAGUGGAAAGAGCCCGGACUUGGGAGUCAGACGUCAUGGGUUCGAAUCCUGACUCUGCCA
rfam:Ornithorhynchus anatinus chromosome X1, whole genome shotgun sequence.